rnacentral:rRNA from 1 species
GACAGAGGUGCCAAGCGUUAGGCGGAAUCACUGGGCUUAAAGCGUGUGUAGGUGGAUGCCUAAGUACCUUGUGAAAUCCCACGGCUCAACCGUGGAACUGCUCGGUAUACUGGGUGUCUUGAGCCACUUAGGGGCUACCGGAACAAAUGGUGGAGCGGUGAAAUGCGUAGAUAUCAUUUGGAACGCCAAUGGUGAAAACAGGUAGCUGGGGGUGUGCUGACACUGAGACACGAAAGCCAGGGGAGCAAACGGG